GUCGUUUUUUAUCUAACUGAUUUAUAAGUAAAUUGUUGAUUUUAAAAAUCUAUUAGUUUUACUCUUAAUCAAUUGGUCGCAGGUUCGAACCCUGCACGACCCACCA
rnacentral:tRNA from 1 species